rnacentral:rRNA from 1 species
GAUGAACGCUGGCGGCGUGCCUAAUACAUGCAAGUCGAGCGAACGGACGAGAAGCUUGCUUCUCUGAUGUUAGCGGCGGACGGGUGAGUAACACGUGGAUAACCUACCUAUAAGACUGGGAUAACUUCGGGAAACCGUAGCUAAUACCGGAUAAUAUUUUGAACCGCAUGGUUCAAAAGUGAAAGACGGUCUUGCUGUCACUUAUAGAUGGUUCCGCGCUGCAUUAGCUAGUUGGUAAGGUAACGGCUUACCAAGGCAACGAUGCAUAGCCGACCUGAGAGGGUGAUCGGCCACACUGGAACUGAGACACGGUCCAGACUCCUACGGGAGGCAGCAGUAGGGAAUCUUCCGCAAUGGGCGAAAGCCUGACGGAGCAACGCCGCGUGAGUGAUGAAGGUCUUCGGAUCGUAAAACUCUGUUAUUAGGGAAGAACAUAUGUGUAAGUAACUGUGCACAUCUUGACGGUACCUAAACAGAAAGCCACGGCUAACUACGUG